rnacentral:misc_RNA from 1 species
GUUGGACAAGCCAUAAGGAGAGAGAUUAUAGUAUUGGCAGUAAGCCAUCAACUUCCUUAACUUUUAAAGAAAUAGAUAGGAAUAACAACAGUGGAUCUUCAGAAGCCAACAAACUUGCCAAUGAACUUCCCAAGAGACCUCAGGCUGUUGAAAAGCAUUCUCUGGCUGAAGAGAAAGAUGCUGCUGAUGUAGAGAACAAGGAUACUGAUACAAAACCAUUGGAGGAUCGCCACCUAGACACAGUUGAGAAGUUGAAGAA